AUAUUUAUUCAUCUGAGGUUUGCAUGGCUUCAUGAAGAAGGAAGGAAUACUUAAUUUGGAUGACAAAUCAUUCCACAAACAUUAUAAAUCCUCCAAGCAGUAAAUAUUUCAGGUUUCAAGAGCCAAUUAGAAAGUGCAUGAGAUCAUUCCACCCAAGACACAGAAUUUGGGAUGAUAUGAAGAAGCAAGGAUGCCUACAAAUCAGACUCAUGUAUGCAAAGAAAGCACAACUGACAAGAUGAUGAAAAACAUGCCUGCCAUGUAAAUAUUUUCUGAUUACUAAAUGGGAACCUUGUUUCUACACCAACAAUAAACAGACAACCAGACCCACCUAUGACAGGUUUAACUCAUCCAAA